AUUGAACGCUGGCGGCAGGCCUAACACAUGCAAGUCGGACGGUAGCACAGAGAGCUUGCUCUCGGGUGACGAGUGACGGACGGGUGAGUAAUGUCUGGGGAUCUGCCCGAUAGAGGGGGAUAACCACUGGAAACGGUGGCUAAUACCGCAUAACGUCGCAAGACCAAAGAGGGGGACCUUCGGGCCUCUCACUAUCGGAUGAACCCAGGUGGGGGUUGCUAGUAGGCUGGGUAACGGCCCACCUAGGCGACGUUCCCUGGCUGGUCUGAGAGGAUGAACAGCCACACUGUAAGUGAGACACGGUGCAGAUUCCUACGGGAGGCAUCAGUGGUGAAAAUUGCACAAUGGGCGAAAGCCUGAUGCAGCCAUGCCGCGUGUAUGAAGAAGGCCUUCAGGUUGUAAAGUACUUUCAGCGGGGAGGAAGGCGAUGUGGUUAAUAACCGCGUCGAUUGACGUUACCCGCAGAAGAAGCACCGGCUAACUCCGUGCCAGCCGCCGCAGUAA
rnacentral:rRNA from 1 species